UCCCUCACUAUGAUGAAGCAUAUUUGGAUGUUAAAACACAAUACUACCGAUGGCGCAAAAACCAUGUGGAUAUUUCCAGUUGCCUUCCUUCUGACCCUUU
rnacentral:snoRNA from 1 species